rnacentral:rRNA from 1 species
GAUUAAGUUAUUAAGGGCGCACGGUGGAUGCCUUGGCACUAGAAGCCGAUGAAGGACGUUACUAACGACGAUAUGCUUUGGGGAGCUGUAAGUAAGCUUUGAUCCAGAGAUUUCCGAAUGGGGAAACCCAGCAUGAGUUAUGUCAUGUUAUCGAUAUGUGAAUACAUAGCAUAUCAGAAGGCACACCCGGAGAACUGAAACAUCUUAGUACCCGGAGGAAGAGAAAGAAAAUUCGAUUCCCUUAGUAGCGGCGAGCGAAACGGGAAGAGCCCAAACCAAAAAGCUUGCUUGUUGGGGUUGUAGGACACUCUAUACGGAGUUACAAAGGACGACAUUAGACGAAUCAUCUGGAAAGAUGAAUCAAAGAAGGUAAUAAUCCUGUAGUCGAAAAUGUUGUCUCUCUUGAGUGGAUCCUGAGUACGACGGAGCACGUGAAAUUCCGUCGGAAUCUGGGAGGACCAUCUCCUAAGGCUAAAUACUCUCUAGUGACCGAUAGUGAACCAGUACCGUGAGGGAAAGGUGAAAAGCACCCCGGAAGGGGAGUGAAAUAGAACCUGAAACCGUGUGCUUACAAGUAGUCAGAGCCCGUUAAUGGGUGAUGGCGUGCCUUUUGUAGAAUGAACCGGCGAGUUACGAUUUGAUGCAAGGUUAAGCAGUAAAUGUGGAGCCGUAGCGAAAGCGAGUCUGAAUAGGGCGUUUAGUAUUUGGUCGUAGACCCGAAACCAGGUGAUCUACCCUUGGUCAGGUUGAAGUUCAGGUAACACUGAAUGGAGGACCGAACCGACUUACGUUGAAAAGUGAGCGGAUGAACUGAGGGUAGCGGAGAAAUUCCAAUCGAACCUGGAGAUAGCUGGUUCUCUCCGAAAUAGCUUUAGGGCUAGCCUCAAGUGAUGAUUAUUGGAGGUAGAGCACUGUUUGGACGAGGGGCCCCUCUCGGGUUACCGAAUUCAGACAAACUCCGAAUGCCAAUUAAUUUAACUUGGGAGUCAGAACAUGGGUGAUAAGGUCCGUGUUCGAAAGGGAAACAGCCCAGACCACCAGCUAAGGUCCCAAAAUAUAUGUUAAGUGGAAAAGGAUGUGGCGUUGCCCAGACAACUAGGAUGUUGGCUUAGAAGCAGCCAUCAUUUAAAGAGUGCGUAAUAGCUCACUAGUCGAGUGACACUGCGCCGAAAAUGUACCGGGGCUAAACAUAUUACCGAAGCUGUGGAUUGUCCUUUGGACAAUGGUAGGAGAGCGUUCUAAGGGCGUUGAAGCAUGAUCGUAAGGACAUGUGGAGCGCUUAGAAGUGAGAAUGCCGGUGUGAGUAGCGAAAGACGGGUGAGAAUCCCGUCCACCGAUUGACUAAGGUUUCCAGAGGAAGGCUCGUCCGCUCUGGGUUAGUCGGGUCCUAAGCUGAGGCCGACAGGCGUAGGCGAUGGAUAACAGGUUGAUAUUCCUGUACCACCUAUAAUCGUUUUAAUCGAUGGGGGGACGCAGUAGGAUAGGCGAAGCGUGCGAUUGGAUUGCACGUCUAAGCAGUAAGGCUGAGUAUUAGGCAAAUCCGGUACUCGUUAAGGCUGAGCUGUGAUGGGGAGAAGACAUUGUGUCUUCGAGUCGUUGAUUUCACACUGCCGAGAAAAGCCUCUAGAUAGAAAAUAGGUGCCCGUACCGCAAACCGACACAGGUAGUCAAGAUGAGAAUUCUAAGGUGAGCGAGCGAACUCUCGUUAAGGAACUCGGCAAAAUGACCCCGUAACUUCGGGAGAAGGGGUGCUCUUUAGGGUUAACGCCCAGAAGAGCCGCAGUGAAUAGGCCCAAGCGACUGUUUAUCAAAAACACAGGUCUCUGCUAAACCGUAAGGUGAUGUAUAGGGGCUGACGCCUGCCCGGUGCUGGAAGGUUAAGAGGAGUGGUUAGCUUCUGCGAAGCUACGAAUCGAAGCCCCAGUAAACGGCGGCCGUAACUAUAACGGUCCUAAGGUAGCGAAAUUCCUUGUCGGGUAAGUUCCGACCCGCACGAAAGGCGUAACGAUUUGGGCACUGUCUCAACGAGAGACUCGGUGAAAUCAUAGUACCUGUGAAGAUGCAGGUUACCCGCGACAGGACGGAAAGACCCCGUGGAGCUUUACUGUAGCCUGAUAUUGAAAUUCGGCACAGCUUGUACAGGAUAGGUAGGAGCCUUUGAAACGUGAGCGCUAGCUUACGUGGAGGCGCUGGUGGGAUACUACCCUAGCUGUGUUGGCUUUCUAACCCGCACCACUUAUCGUGGUGGGAGACAGUGUCAAGCGGGCAGUUUGACUGGGGCGGUCGCCUCCUAAAAGGUAACGGAGGCGCUCAAAGGUUCCCUCAGAAUGGUUGGAAAUCAUUCAUAGAGUGUAAAGGCAUAAGGGAGCUUGACUGCGAGACCUACAAGUCGAGCAGGGUCGAAAGACGGACUUAGUGAUCCGGUGGUUCCGCAUGGAAGGGCCAUCGCUCAACGGAUAAAAGCUACCCCGGGGAUAACAGGCUUAUCUCCCCCAAGAGUUCACAUCGACGGGGAGGUUUGGCACCUCGAUGUCGGCUCAUCGCAUCCUGGGGCUGUAGUCGGUCCCAAGGGUUGGGCUGUUCGCCCAUUAAAGCGGUACGCGAGCUGGGUUCAGAACGUCGUGAGACAGUUCGGUCCCUAUCCGUCGUGGGCGUAGGAAAUUUGAGAGGAGCUGUCCUUAGUACGAGAGGACCGGGAUGGACAUACCUCUGGUGUACCAGUUGUCGUGCCAACGGCAUAGCUGGGUAGCUAUGUGUGGACGGGAUAAGUGCUGAAAGCAUCUAAGCAUGAAGCCCCCCCUCAAGAUGAGAUUUCCCAACUUCGGUUAUAAGAUCCCUCAAAGAUGAUGAGGUUAAUAGGUUCGAGGUGGAAGCAUGGUGACAUGUGGAGCUGACGAAUACUAAUCGAUCGAAGACUUAAUCAA